rnacentral:rRNA from 1 species
UUUUUAUUGAAAGUCACGAGUAUAUACCGAUAUAUAUGAUCCCUUACAUUUCACCACGUGAAUAUACCACGGUUAAGAAAAGUAGAAAACCCCUAGCUCAGAUUUAGGCACAGUUUGCAUAAACUGAAAUGGAAAAAUCUCCACCCUUACACUUGGGGGAACUAUUCGUCAAAGAAUGGAACUAACGAAAGCAAUACCCAAGUAACUAAACGAAACAAAAUCAAAGAACGUAUAAUACGAAGCACGGACACUGUGUAAACGUAGCUCAUGUGUAAGCACCUCCUCAACCCAUAGAUGGGGGUGGUGGGCAUUUAACGUUGGGGCUGUUCGUCGAGCACGACGGCCCUGGUAGUCCUCCCUGAAGGUUCUGCAGAUACAGUCGCUGAAGAAGCUGGAGGCCGGAGUCGUCGGGGACUACCACGGCAGUGGUCUCUCCGGCCAGCACAUUGCCGCCCAACGGCCGCGCCGAGCUCGACCCGAUGAGGAGCGCUAUGAUCGCCAUCAUCACGAUCACCGAGGCAACGAACUUCGAUCUCAUCAUCAUCAUAUUCUAAAUUCAGGUCAGUUCACACAAACAAACUUCGCAAAUAGCGCUAUGCGUCGCUACUCGCUAGCUUAGCUAGAUUGUGCUGCAAAGGUUAGCAC